AUUGAACGCUGGCGGCAUGCCUUACACAUGCAAGUCGAACGGUAACAGGUUAAGCUGACGAGUGGCGAACGGGUGAGUAAUAUAUCGGAACGUGCCCAGUCGUGGGGGAUAACGUAGCGAAAGCUACACUAAUACCGCAUACGAUCUACGGAUGAAAGCGGGGGAUCGCAAGACCUCGCGCGAUCGUAGCGGCCGAUAUCAGACUAGGUUGUUGGUGAGGUAAAAGCUCACCAAGCCUGCGAUCUGUAGCUGGUCCGAGAGGACGACGAGCCACACAGGAACUGAGACACGGUCCAGACUCCUACGGGAGGCAGCAGUGGGGAAUUUUGGACAAUGGACGCAAGUCUGAUCCAGCAAUGCCGCGUGCAGGACGAAGGCCUUCGGGUUGUAAACUGCUUUUGUACGGAACGAAACGGUGAGCUCUAAUACAGUUUGCUAAUGACGGUACCGUAAGAAUAAGCACCGGCUAACUACGUGCCAGCCGCCGCGGUAA
rnacentral:rRNA from 1 species